AUUGAACGCUGGCGGCAUGCUUUACACAUGCAAGUCGAACGGCAGCGCGGGGCAACCUGGCGGCGAGUGGCGAACGGGUGAGUAAUACAUCGGAACGUACCCAGAAGUGGGGGAUAACGUAGCGAAAGUUACGCUAAUACCGCAUACGUUCUACGGAAGAAAGUGGGGGACCUUCGGGCCUCAUUCUUUUGGCGCGGCCGGUGUCUGAUGAGCUAGUUGGUAGGGUAAAGGCCUACCAAGGCGACGAUCAGUAGCUGGUCUGAGAGGACGACCAGCCACACUGGGACUGAGACACGGCCCAGACUCCUACGGGAGGCAGCAGUGGGGAAUUUUGGACAAUGGGCGCAAGCCUGAUCCAGCAAUGCCGCGUGAGUGAAGAAGGCCUUCGGGUUGUAAAGCUCUUUUGUCAGGGAAGAAACGGUCGGGGUUAAUACCUCUGGCUAAUGACGGUACCUGAAGAAUAAGCACCGGCUAACUACGUGCCAGCAGCCGCAGUAA
rnacentral:rRNA from 1 species